AUUGAACGCUGGCGGCAUGCCUUACACAUGCAAGUCGAACGGCAGCACGGGAGCAAUCCUGGUGGCGAGUGGCGAACGGGUGAGUAAAGUAUCGGAACGUGCCCAGUCGUGGGGGCUACCGUAGCGAAAGUUACGCUAAUACCGCAUACGAUCUAUGGAUGAAAGCGGGGGAUCGCACGACCUCGCGCGAUUGGAGCGGCCGGUAUCAGAUUAGGUAGUUGGUGGGGUAAAGGCAUACCAAGGCGACGAUCCAUAGCUGGUCUGGGAGGAUGAUCAGCCACACUGGGACUGAGACACGGCCCAGACUCCUACGGGAGGCAGCAGUGGGGAAUGUUGGGCAAUGGUGGCAACCCUGAUCCAGCCAUUCCGCGUGAGUGAAGAAGGCCUUCGGGUUGUAAAGCUCUUUCGGCAGGAACGAAACGGCGGCCCCUAAUACGGGUUGCUAAUGACGGUACCUGAAGAAGAAGCACCGGCUAACUACGUGCCAGCCGCCGCGGUAA
rnacentral:rRNA from 1 species